GACGAACGCUGGCGGCGUGCUUCAUACAUGCAAGUCGAACGGUGAACCCUCUUCGGAGAGUGUAUAGAGUGGCGCACGGGUGAGUAACACGUAAGUAAUCUACCUUCGAGUGGGGAAGUAACGUCCGGAACGGACGCUAAUACCGCAUAAUGCAGCGGCAUCGCAAGAUGACAGUUGUUAAAGAUUUAUCGCUUGAAGAGGAGCUUGCGGCAGAUUAGCAGUUGGUAAGGUAAUGGCUUACCAAGGCCACGAUCUGUAACCGGUCUAAGAGGACGGUCGGUCACACUGACACUGAAUAACGGGUC
rnacentral:rRNA from 1 species